rnacentral:rRNA from 1 species
UUGAAAGGGAAACGAUUGAAGUAGUGUNNUUGGGUAAUAGCUUUGGUUGAUUUUGUGGGGUUUGAGGAGUUUAAANUNUUNUUUGAUAUUGUGUUUGGGUGUAUUGCGUGUGGUUGGUUAACAUCAAUUUUGGUGNAUAAAAUGGUGGAGGAAUGUAGUUGAUUUGUAUUGAAGUGUUAUAGNUUGGUAGAUGUGGUGAUGAGAUUGAGGAUUGAACGGAUACCUUUGGGGUAAUGUUGAUUUGAUGUUGUUUUGGUGUGAAAGGUGCUUAUAGUUAUCAAAGUCGAUGGUCAAUAGGUUAGAAUGGGUUAAAUUCGUUAAGGAUGUUGACGUA